GAUCAUGGCUCAAAACGUACGCUGGCGGCACGCCUACCCUUUGCAAGUCGAACGCAGUAGCAAUACUGAGUGGCAAACGGGUGAGUAACAUGUGGGAAUCUGCCUUGUGGUUCAGGACAACAUUGGGAAACCGAUGCUAAUACUGGAUAAGCCCUUACGGGGAAAGUUUUAAUGCCAUAAGAUGAGCCCGCAUUUGAUUAGUUAGUUGGUGAGGUAAUGGCUCACCAAGACAAUGAUCAAUAGCUGAUCUGAGAGGAUGAUCAGCCACACUGGGACUGAGACACGGCCCAAACUCCUACGGGAGGCAGCAGUGGGGAAUCUUGCACAAUGGAGGAAACUCUGAUGCAGCGAUGCCGCGUGAGUGAAGAAGGCCUUUGGGUUGUAAAGCUCUUUUAUAGGGGAAGAUAAUGACUGUACCCUAAGAAUAAGGUCCGGCUAACUUCGUG
rnacentral:rRNA from 1 species